rnacentral:rRNA from 1 species
CCCUUAGAUGUUCUGGGCUGCACGCGCGCUACACUGAAGCGUUCAACGAGUAUUCACCUUGCCCGGGAGGGUUGGGUAAUCUUUUCAAAACGCUUCGUGAUGGGGAUAGAUUAUUGCAAUUAUUAAUCUUCAACGAGGAAUUCCUAGUAAGCGCGAGUCAUCAGCUCGUGCUGAUUACGUCCCUGCCCUUUGUACACACCGCCCGUCGCACCUACCGAUUGAAUGGUCCGGUGAAGCCUCCGGAUUGGCGCGCACCUCGGUGCCGCCGAGAAGUUGGCUAAACCUUACCAUUUAGAGGAAGGUGAAGUCGUAACA